rnacentral:lncRNA from 1 species
UUCUUUAGUCGGUAUUUCAUAUAUUUAUGUAAUGUGAUAAAAAAAAUUGUUUUGCAUGUUUUGUUUUAUUGACUUUCAUGGGUAAUAUAUGUAUAAAAAUUUCCUUCAAAUUGAAAAUCGUAUUUCUGCUCCAAAUUCAUCUAUAACCGAAUCAUCCCAAACAAACACGAACAUCCUUCAUGGGGGUACGAUGGGAGAUGGAUCACGGUAGAUUCUUCUGAUGUUUGCAGGAGAUUGGGUCGAGAUUUAACCAAGAUUUGUUCAAAUUUAUCCCAGAUUUACCCCGAUAAGGAUCUCGGGUCCCAGAGUCUGAUGUGUUUGUGGGUUUCACCAGGUGUCUUAACACCUACGUCUGUUUGGGCUUUCUUCCCACUUUCACAAUAGAACUUAAAAACAGUUAAAAAUCUCAGUCUUGCUUUGGAUGAGAAAGAAUGACACUAGGAAGAAAAUUUUGCAAAAUAGUUCAUGCAUUGAGGAAGUUCUGUACAUGCAUAAAGGGUCUUGUUCAACAGAAAAGAUUAAUAGAUGUUAAAAUCUCAUAAUUGAUACUUCAGUUUACAGAAACCACUUAAUCAACAAACAUCGAAACAGAUUUGAAGUACUUAUAUUAAGCUCUACGUUUUGCUCCUUGAGGUCAAUGAAAAUACACAGUAACACUGACACAGAUUUUUCAGUAAAACCAUCAACCAGUCUUCUUGUUACUUUUGAGGCUGUAAUUGUUAUGAUCGUGAGUACUCCAUGGUUUGUAUAUGCAAUGUUCAAGUGAGAUAAACUGGGUAACACUGUCUUCAUAUCUGUAGUUAGACAGCUAGUCUCUGAAAUGAACAUAUUUUACAGAGAAAAAGUUCAUAGAACAAAAAACAAAUGUAAUGAAAAGGAGCCAUUAGACUUUCUUCAUUUUCUAGACUUGUGUUGGCUUUCAUGGAUAUGUAUGCUUCAGGGUCUGUAUGUGACAGACUAAGCUGAAGUACACUUAGUCAACACUGUGUAUUCACAGGUGAGAUGCAGUUGAUCAACCCUGUGUAUUCACAGGUGAGAUACAGUUUAUCAACCUUGUAUUCACAGGUGAGAUACAGUUGAUCAACCCUGUAUUCACAGGUGAGAUACAGUUGAUCAACCCUGUAUUCACAGGUGAGAUACAGUUGAUCAACCCUGUAUUCACAGGUGAGAUACAGUUGAUCAACCCUGUAUUCACAGGUGAGAUACAGUUUAUCAACCCUGUAUUCACAGGUGAGAUACAGUUGAUCAACCCUGUAUUCACAGGUGAGAUACAGUUGAUCAACCCUGUAUUCACAGGUGAGAUACAGUUGAUCAACCCUGUAUUCACAGGUGAGAUACAGUUGAUCAACCCUGUAUUCACAGGUGAGAUGCAGUUGAUCAACCCUGUAUUCACAGGUGUGAUGCAGUUGACCAACCAUGUGUAUUCACAGGUGAUUAUACACUUGAUCAACCAUGUGUAUUCACAGGUAAGAUGCACUUGAUCAACCAUGUGUAUUCACAGGUGAUUAUACACUUGAUCAACCAUGUGUAUUCACAUGUGAUUAUACCCUUGAUCAACCAUGUGUAUUCACAGGUGAUUAUACACAUGAUCAACCAUAUGUAUAUUCACAUAUGAGGUGCCCUUGAUCAACAGAGUAUUCACAGGUGACAUAGAAACCUAUGAAGUAUUGAUGAUGAAAUGUUUUCAUGAUCAUACCACAAGAAGUAACCAAUUUAUAGACUAUAUAUUCAAGAGCAGUCAUUAGCAUCUGAAGACUCUAUGUUGAGGAAUACCUGUAUUCAAAUGUGAUAUGUUCUAUAGUCACGAGCGACUCAGUCGUUUUCUGAUUGAUAAAUGGGAGUCCAAUAUACCAAAAACUGUUUGAAGGAUGGUCAUUUUUUACUUGUCAUGUUAGAACUAGGGCUGGCUUUGAUAUAAGUCCUAGAGAUUGAUUAUCAUAAACUAAAUAUCAGUUGACUAUCGAUAAAUAUCGGAGAAGUAACUUUGAGGGAAAGUGGGAAAAGGGCCAAAUGAAAUCAACAUGUAUUAAAUCACUGGGGAGUGGUGACAUUUAUGCCUAGAUUUCACAAAGAAAGAUUUCAUUAACAUAGUUUAGAAGUGGCCCAUGAGUAAAGAUCUAACUUUGAGCAUUAUGUGUGUGAAUUAAAACAUGUAUUUCAUCACAAUAAUAUAUGGAAGUGAUGACAGAUUUUUCAUAUCAAAAUCGUUGAUAAUAUGUACCAUUGAUGAUAUUUCUGAUUAUCAAUCUUUUUAGCCAACCCUAGUGAAAACUUGUAUCAGCUUUUUUUAUGAAGGUGUCCACAUUCAUGGCCAUGUGUUUGUACAAAUGUUUUCAUCCUUUUAUUCAUGUGAUCAUCAAGGAACUAACGAGUUGUGUGCUAUUAUUCAGGGUAGUAAGUACACACAUAUUCUAACCUGGGUAGAUAGCAUCUCUGAUUAUCAUGGUAUUACGUCUUCACUGUGUCAUGUAUGACCUCUGACCUAUUUGCAGCUGUGUCCAGAUAAAAAAACCAUUUCAAAUCAACUGUAUUUUCACAAUUAAAACAAGAAGUAGUUUCACACAUCAUUAACUUGACAUUUUCAUGGUGUCACAAAUUCAUCAGGAAUGUCUUUAACAUCAUGACUUACCUCCCCUGUGUAAACGAUCUUCAAUCUCCAUAGUCUUGUGGACUGUGUGUGUACGGAGAGCGGAAUCUACAUGGUUCAUUCAAGAGCGAGGGGUAUCUUUGCUACAUAUGCAAUAAAAGACAUAAAGCUGGUGCUCACUUUCCCUAUGAAGUUAUGGUGUCAAAUUGGUCUGUUUCAAAAUAGUUAUAAAACUCUGGGGCACCACAUAUAUACCCUUCUUGACCAAAAUGUUGGCUUAGUUCAUACACUGGGCCUAGAUUUUCGAAGCUCUCUUAGCGCUAAGAUAGUCUUAGGUUAAUGUUAAUGUAUGGCGCUUACGCCUAUCUUAGCGUUAAGAGAGCUUCGAAAAUCUAGGCCCUGGUGCUUAGCCUCUGAAUAUAUCUUACUAUGAUAGAAACAACCUUCUAACUUUAAAAUGAAACAGUGCCCUGUAAUGUUGAGGAUUGUCAAGCUGGAAGAUCUAGACAUGCUUCAUUGAGAGCUAUACCAUUACAACAGUGUAUGAAAUAAGGCCCGUCCAGCCGCCCGAGAUGGUCUAGAUUUCAGACAGACAGUUUGGAUUUACAGCUAGCCAGCCCGAUGAUCUGGUAAAAAUUUAGAUGUUAUAUACAUCUGAGUCAUAUCUUGGUGUCUGGUCUGGUUAAAUCCAUUGGACUGGUAACAUUUUGAAGUUUCCAGCCCUGAUGUCUGGCUGGGGUUUUGGCUUAUUUCAUACACUGAUUACAAUAAGCCCAGCAUAAGUUAAUAUAGAUCUGGGACUGUGAGUGAGACGAGGUCAGUUUAUUUUGAAAAUGUUAGUUGUUCCAAGAAAGGGAUGGUUCAUCGGAGAUAAAUGAAUGCCGCAGUACAGUGUUUCCCUUACAGUAGAAUACGCAAGAGUGUCUGUGUCUCUUUAGUCCUAAUAAUUACUUAAUUGUGGCCAAAAGAAUUUUUAUAAGACAUGUAGUGUUACCCUCUGUGGAGUCCAUGUUAGAAUAGGUCCUGUGUUUGUUUUAAGAAGAAUAAUGGACAAGGUGUCCAGGUCUGUGACUUGGUUCACUGAAUGUGAUUGUAACGAGAUGGAGUGGGUUUUUGCUCAUCAUAUCGAUCACUGGUUACCUUGUCCAGACUGUUAUUAUCAUACUGCCAUCACAUAACUGGAAUAUUGCUAUUAAAUAACAAGUGCAUUUUUUCAUAAGGUAAUAAUGAUUUUAUUGUUAAGUGUACUACUAGGUAAAUUGAAAAACAUGUGAAUUGGUUAUGGCUGGUUAUUUUAAACAUUCUUUUUAAGGAGUUAAUGUAAAUGCAGAAAAUGAGAUAAUUCUGUCGGUAUAUUAAGUACAAUCUUCUAAUUAGUCUCAUUUCUCUUUCCGUCCGAUAAACUGAGUUAUGGCAAUAAUCGUAAUGUACAUCUUGUGUGUGUAGUGAUCAUUAUCAUCAUGGUCACGGAGUAUCUGUACAUGGAUUACACAAGGCCUUUUCUUAGCUACUACUUCCUUUACACAUUUUGUUCUGAAAUUAAGUUCAUUUUGAAGUUUUGCAUCCAUUAAUAUUUUGAGAAGUUUGUUUUUCUCCAUUUCAACCCACAUAGGAUUGUCUCAAAUCAAUUUCAAUCCAUGGUUGGGAAUUUCUCAGACAGUGGAUUUCAUUGAACUGAGAUUUAGUCUCUGCAAUUAAAAUUUUUUGGUUAUAAUUGUUUUUAAUACGUUGUAUGGUUGGGCUUGUUUGGAAUAUUCAGAUAUAUCUGCUGAAUGUCUGUAUGAGAGAUUCAAGCAAGUAAAGAUAAUUGCCUUAAGGUACCAAACAAAGGUUAGAACAUCUACUUUGUACUGUUUAUAAUUUUGUACUUUAAUCUCAGUGUGUUUGUGUUUCAUGUUAUAGUUCCUGAAGAAGUCAUGAUUAUUCUUGUGAUUUGGGUACUGAAUAACAUGAUCAUUUAGAUGAUUUGUGAUUUGUAUAAAAGGUUAAUCGGUCA